rnacentral:rRNA from 1 species
AGAGCGAACGCUGGCGGCAGGCCUAACACAUGCAAGUCGAGCGCCCGUAGCAAUACGGGAGCGGCAGACGGGAUAGUAACACGUGGGAACGCGCCCUUCGGUUCGGAAUAACUCAGGGAAACUUGAGCUAAUACCGGAUACGCCCUUACGGGGAAAGAUUUAUUGCCGAAGGAACGGCCCGCGUCCGAUUAGCUAGUUGGUGAGGUAAUGGCUCACCAAGGCGACGAUCGGUAGCUGGUCUGAGAGGAUGACCAGCAUCACUGGGACUGAGACACGGCCCAGACUCCUACGGGAGGCAGCAGUGGGGAAUAUUGGACAAUGGGCGCAAGCCUGAUCCAGCCAUGCCGCGUGGAUGAUGAAGGCCUUAGGGUUGUAAAGUCCUUUUAACGGGAAGAUAAUGACGGUACCCGUAGAAUAAGCCCGGCUAACUUCGCGCCAGCAGCCGC